ACACGGACCAAGGAGUCUAACAUGUGUGCGAGCCAUUGGGCGAACUAAACCCAAGGGCGUAGUGAAAGCGAAGGACACGUUGGUGUCUUAGGGACGAUACCCUUCGGGGUCGCAGUCUCGGCGCUUUGCAUCGACCUCGCAUCGUGCAGAGCAGCAAGAGCAUACACGUUGGGACCCGAAAGAUGGUGAACUAUGCCUGGCCAGGUUGAAGUCAGGGGAAACCCUGAUGGAGGACCGUAGCGAUUCUGACGUGCAAAUCGAUCGUCGGAGCUGGGUAUAGGGGCGAAAGACUAAUCGAACCAUCUAGUAGCUGGUUCCUUCCGAAGUUUCCCUCAGGAUAGCUGGCGCUCAUUUAACGAGUUUCAUCCGGUAAAGCGAAUGAUUAGAAGUCUUGGGGACGAAACGUCCUCAACUUAUUCUCAAACUUUAAAUGGGUGAGAAGCGAGACUUGCUUAAGUGAAGUCUCGCAACGAAUCGGAGUGCCAAGUGGGCCAUUUUUGGUAAGCAG
rnacentral:rRNA from 1 species